rnacentral:rRNA from 1 species
CCUACGGGGGGCAGCAGUGGGGAAUAUUGCACAAUGGGCGCGAGCCUGAUGCAGCCAUGCCGCGUGUGUGAAGAAGGCCUUCGGGUUGUAAAGCACUUUCAGCGGGGAGGAAGGCGUUAAGGUUAAUAACCUUGGCGAUUGACGUUACCCGCAGAAGAAGCACCGGCUAACUCCGUGCCAGCAGCCGCGGUAAUACGGAGGGUGCAAGCGUUAAUCGGAAUUACUGGGCGUAAAGCGCACGCAGGCGGUCUGUCAAGUCGGAUGUGAAAUCCCCGGGCUCAACCUGGGAACUGCAUUCGAAACUGGCAGGCUAGAGUCUUGUAGAGGGGGGUAGAAUUCCAGGUGUAGCGGUGAAAUGCGUAGAGAUCUGGAGGAAUACCGGUGGCGAAGGCGGCCCCCUGGACAAAGACUGACGCUCAGGUGCGAAAGCGUGGGGAGCAAACAGGAUUAGAUACCCGUGUAGUC